UUUUAUGGAUAAUAAAAACCAUAAAGAUGCUUGGAUUAAUUUCACUAAAUUUGUGUUGUGGG
rnacentral:sRNA from 1 species